AUCCUCCGAAAAUAAGACCUACUUACAGGUUUUCUUCUGAGUGAAAUAUAAGGCAUCCCCUGAAAAUAGGGCCCCCCUAGGCUCUGUAUCAGAAUGAAAAUUAAUUUACCAUAAACUGGUCACUAGGGCUUCCCCUACUGGCGUCUAGCAACUAGUGACAUUACGCGGAGUCCUGAUGUCACUGCUGUGGGAAUGGAGAGAAAUCAGCGUGAAAACUUUGUGAAACCUAAACUGCAA